rnacentral:sRNA from 1 species
UGAUGUUUACAAAGGUACUCUCAUAUAC